rnacentral:rRNA from 1 species
UGGGGAAUAUUGGACAAUGGGCGCAAGCCUGAUCCAGCCAUGCCGCGUGAGUGAUGACGGCCUUAGGGUUGUAAAGCUCUUUCGUCCGGGACGAUAAUGACGGUACCGGAAGAAGAAGCCCCGGCUAACUUCGUGCCAGCAGCCGCGGUAAUACGAAGGGGGCUAGCGUUGUUCGGAAUCACUGGGCGUAAAGGGCGCGUAGGCGGCCUGAUAAGUCGGGGGUGAAAGCCUGUGGCUCAACCACAGAAUUGCCUUCGAUACUGUCGGGCUUGAGACCGGAAGAGGUAAGUGGAACUGCGAGUGUAGAGGUGAAAUUCGUAGAUAUUCGCAAGAACACCAGUGGCGAAGGCGGCUUACUGGUCCGGUUCUGACGCUGAGGCGCGAAAGCGUGGGGAGCAAACAG